AAAUCCUUUGCAGUAAACUAGACAAUUGAAUUUUUUGAAAUACUCAAUGAUGUUAAUGUUUCUUCCAUUAAUAUUUGACUUUAAAAAUUAAAAAGCAAAAUUAAAUUUCAGUGUCUUAGAAAACACUAUAUACUUUUUUUUAUUGAUAAAGAAAGCGAACGAUAAAAAUCGAACAAUGACUUCACUUCCGAUGAAUGCUCUUUUGUAAGGCUAUGAAAUUAAAAUAGCUUUGCAGUAAGACCGAUUUUAAAAUAGAUAACAAAGUAAGAUUAAAUUUUAUAAAUAUUGUUCAAUGACAAACUUUUAAAGCUUUAGAACAAUUCCACGUAAAACGAUUGAAUAAAAUUUUUAAUUUCCUGAUAAUGGCUUGAAACUCUGCCUUGUAGUUUCUGGUCCGCCAGCUCUUCUGGAGAGUGCUACACAGAUGACAACAAUUCCUACAAUAAUGACAACGACAGUAGCUGCUGCUGGCACAAUUACAUUGAUAUCGAGCCAUUCGGGUAGGAAAGAGAAAAUCUUCUUGACAGCCAAGUCGUUGCUUUCGCCUUCCACGAUGUUCGCUUUGCCAGUGUCACUUCGGAAUGGCGGCGCAAUUGUACCUGUUAAAUAAAGAAAUCGUUUAAAAACUA